rnacentral:rRNA from 1 species
AGCCUAAAGCAACUAUUUUAGGUGAUACCUGCCCAGUGCUAACUUAUACCUGUAAACGGCCGCAGUACCUUGACUGUGCUAAGGUAGCAUAAUAAUUUGGCUUUUAAAUGGAGUCGGGAAUGAAUGGGAUAAUGGGGCUAAGCUGUCUCUACUAUAUUUAAUUUAACUUGCUUAUUAGGUGAAAAUUCCUAAGUUUAAGAAAAAAGACGAGAAGACCCUAGGAGUUUUCACUAAGAAAAUUGAAGUAAUAAUUUUUAGGUUUUCGUUGGGGCAACAAGGGAAGAUUUUAGAACCUCCUUUUUUAAUUAGCCGACUAUAGUAUGUGAGUUUAAACUACCCUAGGGAUAACAGCGUAAUUCUAUGAUUGAGUUUGCGACCUCGAUGUUGGACUAGGAAUGAUGUAGGCUAGCCGCCUAUAUUUAUUGUUCUGUUCGAACUUAAUUUCCUACAU